UGUGAGCUCGAUGAGUAGGGCGGGACACGUGGUAUCCUGUCUGAAUAUGGGGGGACCAUCCUCCAAGGCUAAAUACUCCUGACUGACCGAUAGUGAACCAGUACCGUGAGGGAAAGGCGAAAAGAACCCCGGCGAGGGGAGUGAAAAAGAACCUGAAACCGUGUACGUACAAGCAGUGGGAGCCUCUUAAUGGGGUGACUGCGUACCUUUUGUAUAAUGGGUCAGCGACUUAUAUUCUGUAGCAAGGUUAACCGAAUAGGGGAGCCGAAGGGAAACCGAGUCUUAACUGGGCGUUAAGUUGCAGGGUAUAGACCCGAAACCCGGUGAUCUAGCCAUGGGCAGGUUGAAGGUUGGGUAACACUAACUGGAGGACCGAACCGACUAAUGUUGAAAAAUUAGCGGAUGACUUGUGGCUGGGGGUGAAAGGCCAAUCAAACCGGGAGAUAGCUGGUUCUCCCCGAAAGCUAUUUAGGUAGCGCCUCGUGAAUUCAUCUCCGGGGGUAGAGCACUGUUUCGGCAAGGGGGUCAUCCCGACUUACCAACCCGAUGCAAACUGCGAAUACCGGAGAAUGUUAUCACGGGAGACACACGGCGGGUGCUAACGUCCGUCGUGAAGAGGGAAACAACCCAGACCGCCAGCUAAGGUCCCAAAGUCAUGGUUAAGUGGGAAACGAUGUGGGAAGGCCCAGACAGCCAGGAUGUUGGCUUAGAAGCAGCCAUCAUUUAAAGAAAGCGUAAUAGCUCACUGGUCGAGUCGGCCUGCGCGGAAGAUGUAACGGGGCUAAACCAUGCACCGAAGCUGCGGCAGCGACACUAUGUGUUGUUGGGUAGGGGAGCGUUCUGUAAGCCUGUGAAGGUGUACUGUGAGGUAUGCUGGAGGUAUCAGAAGUGCGAAUGCUGACAUAAGUAACGAUAAAGCGGGUGAAAAGCCCGCUCGCCGGAAGACCAAGGGUUCCUGUCCAACGUUAAUCGGGGCAGGGUGAGUCGACCCCUAAGGCGAGGCCGAAAGGCGUAGUCGAUGGGAAACAGGUUAAUAUUCCUGUACUUGGUGUUACUGCGAAGGGGGGACGGAGAAGGCUAUGUUGGCCGGGCGACGGUUGUCCCGGUUUAAGCGUGUAGGCUGGUUUUCCAGGCAAAUCCGGAAAACUAAGGCUGAGGCGUGAUGACGAGGCACUACGGUGCUGAAGCAACAAAUGCCCUGCUUCCAGGAAAAGCCUCUAAGCAUCAGGUAACAUCAAAUCGUACCCCAAACCGACACAGGUGGUCAGGUAGAGAAUACCAAGGCGCUUGAGAGAACUCGGGUGAAGGAACUAGGCAAAAUGGUGCCGUAACUUCGGGAGAAGGCACGCUGAUAUGUAGGUGAAGCGACUUGCUCGUGGAGCUGAAAUCAGUCGAAGAUACCAGCUGGCUGCAACUGUUUAUUAAAAACACAGCACUGUGCAAACACGAAAGUGGACGUAUACGGUGUGACGCCUGCCCGGUGCCGGAAGGUUAAUUGAUGGGGUUAGCGGUAACGCGAAGCUCUUGAUCGAAGCCCCGGUAAACGGCGGCCGUAACUAUAACGGUCCUAAGGUAGCGAAAUUCCUUGUCGGGUAAGUUCCGACCUGCACGAAUGGCGUAAUGAUGGCCAGGCUGUCUCCACCCGAGACUCAGUGAAAUUGAACUCGCUGUGAAGAUGCAGUGUACCCGCGGCAAGACGGAAAGACCCCGUGAACCUUUACUAUAGCUUGACACUGAACAUUGAGCCUUGAUGUGUAGGAUAGGUGGGAGGCUUUGAAGUGUGGACGCCAGUCUGCAUGGAGCCGGCCUUGAAAUACCACCCUUUAAUGUUUGAUGUUCUAACGUUGGCCCCUGAUCGGGGUUGCGGACAGUGUCUGGUGGGUAGUUUGACUGGGGCGGUCUCCUCCUAAAGAGUAACGGAGGAGCACGAAGGUUGGCUAAUCCUGGUCGGACAUCAGGAGGUUAGUGCAAUGGCAUAAGCCAGCUUGACUGCGAGCGUGACGGCGCGAGCAGGUGCGAAAGCAGGUCAUAGUGAUCCGGUGGUUCUGAAUGGAAGGGCCAUCGCUCAACGGAUAAAAGGUACUCCGGGGAUAACAGGCUGAUACCGCCCAAGAGUUCAUAUCGACGGCGGUGUUUGGCACCUCGAUGUCGGCUCAUCACAUCCUGGGGCUGAAGUAGGUCCCAAGGGUAUGGCUGUUCGCCAUUUAAAGUGGUACGCGAGCUGGGUUUAGAACGUCGUGAGACAGUUCGGUCCCUAUCUGCCGUGGGCGCUGGAGAACUGAGGGGGGCUGCUCCUAGUACGAGAGGACCGGAGUGGACGCAUCACUGGUGUUCGGGUUGUCAUGCCAAUGGCACUGCCCGGUAGCUAAAUGCGGAAGAGAUAAGUGCUGAAAGCAUCUAAGCACGAAACUUGCCCCGAGAUGAGUUCUCCCUGACUCCUUGA
rnacentral:rRNA from 1 species